GGGUGCAUGGUGGCUUAGUGGUUAGCAUGUUCGCCUUGGACCUCCAAGGUUGAGGGUUUGAUUCCCACUGCUGCCC